rnacentral:rRNA from 1 species
AUAGAGUCAAGUGAAUAAGUGCAUCAGGCGGAUGCCUUGGCGAUGAUAGGCGACGAAGGACGUGUAAGCCUGCGAAAAGCGCGGGGGAGCUGGCAAUAAAGCUAUGAUUCCGCGAUGUCCGAAUGGGGAAACCCACUGCAUUCUGUGCAGUAUCCUAAGUUGAAUACAUAGGCUUAGAGAAGCGAACCCGGAGAACUGAACCAUCUAAGUACCCGGAGGAAAAGAAAUCAACCGAGAUUCCGCAAGUAGUGGCGAGCGAACGCGGAGGAGCCUGUACGUAAUAACUGUCGAGAUAGAAGAACAAGCUGGGAAGCUUGACCAUAGCGGGUGACAGUCCCGUAUUCGAAAUCUCAACAGCGGUACUAAGCGUACGAAAAGUAGGGCGGGACACGUGAAAUCCUGUCUGAAUAUGGGGGGACCAUCCUCCAAGGCUAAAUACUCAUCAUCGACCGAUAGUGAACCAGUACCGUGAGGGAAAGGCGAAAAGAACCCCGGGAGGGGAGUGAAACAGAACCUGAAACCUGAUGCAUACAAACAGUGGGAGCGCCCUAGUGGUGUGACUGCGUACCUUUUGUAUAAUGGGUCAACGACUUACAUUCAGUAGCGAGCUUAACCGGAUAGGGGAGGCGUAGGGAAACCGAGUCUUAAUAGGGCGAUGAGUUGCUGGGUGUAGACCCGAAACCGAGUGAUCUAUCCAUGGUCAGGUUGAAGGUGCCGUAACAGGUACUGGAGGACCGAACCCACGCAUGUUGCAAAAUGCGGGGAUGAGCUGUGGGUAGGGGUGAAAGGCUAAACAAACUCGGAGAUAGCUGGUUCUCCCCGAAAACUAUUUAGGUAGUGCCUCGAGCAAGACACUGAUGGGGGUAAAGCACUGUUAUGGCUAGGGGGUUAUUGCAACUUACCAACCCAUGGCAAACUCAGAAUACCAUCAAGUGGUUCCUCGGGAGACAGACAGCGGGUGCUAACGUCCGUUGUCAAGAGGGAAACAACCCAGACCGUCGGCUAAGGUCCCAAAUGAUAGAUUAAGUGGUAAACGAAGUGGGAAGGCACAGACAGCCAGGAUGUUGGCUUAGAAGCAGCCAUCAUUUAAAGAAAGCGUAAUAGCUCACUGGUCGAGUCGUCCUGCGCGGAAGAUGUAACGGGGCUCAAAUCUAUAACCGAAGCUGCGGAUGCCGGUUUACCGGCAUGGUAGGGGAGCGUUCUGUAGGCUGAUGAAGGUGCAUUGUAAAGUGUGCUGGAGGUAUCAGAAGUGCGAAUGUUGACAUGAGUAGCGAUAAAGCGGGUGAAAAGCCCGCUCGCCGAAAGCCCAAGGUUUCCUACGCAACGUUCAUCGGCGUAGGGUAAGUCGGCCCCUAAGGCGAGGCAGAAAUGCGUAGUCGAUGGGAAACAGGUUAAUAUUCCUGUACUUGAUUCAAAUGCGAUGUGGGGACGGAGAAGGUUAGGUUGGCAAGCUGUUGGAAUAGCUUGUUUAAGCCGGUAGGUGGAAGACUUAGGCAAAUCCGGGUUUUCUUAACACCGAGAAGUGAUGACGAGUGUCUACGGACACGAAGCAACCGAUACCACGCUUCCAGGAAAAGCCACUAAGCUUCAGUUUGAAUCGAACCGUACCGCAAACCGACACAGGUGGGCAGGAUGAGAAUUCUAAGGCGCUUGAGAGAACUCGGGAGAAGGAACUCGGCAAAUUGAUACCGUAACUUCGGGAGAAGGUAUGCCCUCUAAGGUUAAGGACUUGCUCCGUAAGCCCCGGAGGGUCGCAGAGAAUAGGUGGCUGCGACUGUUUAUUAAAAACACAGCACUCUGCCAACACGAAAGUGGACGUAUAGGGUGUGACGCCUGCCCGGUGCCGGAAGGUUAAUUGAAGAUGUGCAAGCAUCGGAUCGAAGCCCCGGUAAACGGCGGCCGUAACUAUAACGGUCCUAAGGUAGCGAAAUUCCUUGUCGGGUAAGUUCCGACCCGCACGAAUGGCGUAACGAUGGCCACACUGUCUCCUCCCGAGACUCAGCGAAGUUGAAGUGGUUGUGAAGAUGCAAUCUACCCGCUGCUAGACGGAAAGACCCCGUGAACCUUUACUGUAGCUUUGCAUUGGACUUUGAAGUCACUUGUGUAGGAUAGGUGGGAGGCUUGGAAGCAGAGACGCCAGUCUCUGUGGAGUCGUCCUUGAAAUACCACCCUGGUGUCUUUGAGGUUCUAACCCAGACCCGUCAUCCGGGUCGGGGACCGUGCAUGGUAGGCAGUUUGACUGGGGCGGUCUCCUCCCAAAGCGUAACGGAGGAGUUCGAAGGUUACCUAGGUCCGGUCGGAAAUCGGACUGAUAGUGCAAUGGCAAAAGGUAGCUUAACUGCGAGACCGACAAGUCGGGCAGGUGCGAAAGCAGGACAUAGUGAUCCGGUGGUUCUGUAUGGAAGGGCCAUCGCUCAACGGAUAAAAGGUACUCCGGGGAUAACAGGCUGAUUCCGCCCAAGAGUUCAUAUCGACGGCGGAGUUUGGCACCUCGAUGUCGGCUCAUCACAUCCUGGGGCUGUAGUCGGUCCCAAGGGUAUGGCUGUUCGCCAUUUAAAGUGGUACGUGAGCUGGGUUUAAAACGUCGUGAGACAGUUUGGUCCCUAUCUGCAGUGGGCGUUGGAAGUUUGACGGGGGCUGCUCCUAGUACGAGAGGACCGGAGUGGACGAACCUCUGGUGUACCGGUUGUAACGCCAGUUGCAUAGCCGGGUAGCUAAGUUCGGAAGAGAUAAGCGCUGAAAGCAUCUAAGCGCGAAACUCGCCUGAAGAUGAGACUUCCCUUGCGGUUUAACCGCACUAAAGGGUCGUUCGAGACCAGGACGUUGAUAGGUGGGGUGUGGAAGCGCGGUAACGCGUGAAGCUAACCCAUACUAAUUGCCCGUGAGGCUUGACUCUAU